UCGGGAAUUUUGGGCAAUGGGGGAAACCCUGACCCAGCAACGCCGCGUGAAGGAUGAAGUAUUUCGGUAUGUAAACUUCGAAAGAAUAGGAAGAAUUAAUGACGGUACUAUUUAUAAGGUCCGGCUAACUACGUGCCAGCAGCCGCGGUAAUACGUAGGGACCAAGCGUUGUUCGGAUUUACUGGGCGUAAAGGGCGCGUAGGCGGCAUGACAAGUCACUUGUGAAAUCUCUGGGCUUAACCCAGAACGGCCAAGUGAAACUGUCGCGCUAGAGUGCGGAAGGGGCAAUCGGAAUUCUUGGUGUAGCGGUGAAAUGCGUAGAUAUCAAGAGGAACACCUGAGGUGAAGACGGGUUGCUGGGCCGACACUGACGCUGAUGCGCGAAAGCCAGGGGAGCAAACGGGAUUAGAUACCCCGGUAGUCCUGGCCCUAAACGAUGAAUACUUGGUGUCUGGAGUUAUUAGUGCUCCGGGUGCCGUCGCUAACGUUUUUAGUAUUCCGCCUGGGGAGUACGCUCGCAAGAGUGA
rnacentral:rRNA from 1 species